AUUGCCUUAGUAACGGCGAGUGAAGCGGCAACAGCUCAAAUUUGAAAUCUGGCCCCAGGCCCGAGUUGUAAUUUGCAGAGGAUGCUUUUGGCGCGGUGCCUUCCGAGUUUCCUGGAACGGGACGCCAUAGAGGGUGAGAGCCCCGUCUGGUUGGAUACCAAGCCUUUGUAAAGCUCCUUCGACGAGUCGAGUAGUUUGGGAAUGCUGCUCUAAAUGGGAGGUAUAUGUCUUCUAAAGCUAAAUACCGGCCAGAGACCGAUAGCGCACAAGUAGAGUGAUCGAAAGAUGAAAAGCACUUUGGAAAGAGAGUUAAACAGCACGUGAAAUUGUUAAAAGGGAAGCGUUUAUGACCAGACUUGGGCCGGUUAAUCAUCCAGCGUUCUCGCUGGUGCACUUUGCCGGUCCAGGCCAGCAUCAGUUCGCUGCGGGGGAUAAAGGCGUCGGGAAUGUGGCUCCUCCGGAGUGUUAUAGCCCUUCGCGCAAUACCCUGCGGUGGACUGAGGUUCGCGCAUCUGCAAGGAUGCUGGCGUAAUGGUCAUCAACGACCCGUCUUGAAACACGGACCAAGGAGUCGUCUUCGUAUGCGAGUGUUCGGGUGUAAAACCCCUACGCGUAAUGAAAGUGAACGCAGGUGAGAGCUUCGGCGCAUCAUCGACCGAUCCUGAUGUUCUCGGAUGGAUUUGAGUAAGAGCAUACGGGGCCGGACCCGAAAGAAGGUGAACUAUGCCUGUAUAGGGUGAAGCCAGAGGAAACUCUGGUGGAGGCUCGCAGCGGUUCUGACGUGCAAAUCGAUCGUCAAAUAUGGGCAUGGGGGCGAAAGACUAAU
rnacentral:rRNA from 1 species